AGUAAUUGCUAAGAGAUGCAACACAGUGUGACUGACGGAGCCAACAAACUUAUAUUUGGACUCGGCACAAAGAUGACAGUUUAUUCCAGAGAGAAACAUGACCCAUCUUACUACAGUUUGAAGUCAAGUAGUACCACAGCUUGCCUGGCUACAGAUUUCAGCGCACACAAUGCUACUACGCACUUGGAAUCCUUCAACAAGACAGAGGCCACCAGAGUGAAUGGGGACAGCUACUACAGCCAGGUUGCCCUCGGAGAAAAUUGCACUGAAGGAGGUGGUUCAGAGAAAUGUGAAUCAAACUGGUAUUUUGACACAGAUGCAAAGAUCAAUUUCCUAUCCCUGACCAUUCUGGGCCUGAGAAUUCUGUUCCUGAAGACCAUCGUUUUCAACGUGCUGAUGACUCUUCGACUGUGGAUGAGUUAGAAAGAUGUCCAUCAGUCCCUCAAAGACAACACAAGAAAUCCUUCCCAGAAGAACUAUUGAAUUGAAUUGUAAUUACAUUCUCACUGUAGGAAGUAGAUUGCACUCAUUGGAAUCUCUUGAUUGUCUGGACUGUCAAAUACAUCAAAAUCCUCCCAGACAGACAUGGGUUCAAAUUAAGAAUCCAGCAUUGAUUUGCAGAAAACAUGUCUGUUGAAGGAUUUGUAAACAUGCUCUUCAAGUCAUAAAUAUGAUAUGAUAUUAUAAUUUGCUUACCUGUAUAUAUAUAUUUCUCUCCAACUGUUGUGACUUGUGAUAGUACAUCAAAAUGUUUUUGAUUCUGCUCUCUCUUUGCUUGAAAUGUCAUGAACCUCAAUUUGUAUUAUUCUUAAGAGUAAAUAUGUAUAGCUAAAUGUAACGGAAAUAUAUAAGAAACGGUUCCUUUUUGUAUAUUGAUUUAAAAAACAGUCUUUGUAAAGUGUUUUGUUUUGAUGAAAAUAUUAAUUAAAUAAAUACAUUAUAUGGA